UUUAACCUAAUUUCUUUUCUAAUAUUUCUUUUGUCGAUUGAGAUUUCCAUGUAAGAAAAAGUGAUGGGUGCGAGAGUUGGUUCGAUCGAAGUGACAUCAACCCCUGGAAGAUGUUCAUUGGCAAUCCAAGACAAAAAUGGUGGUGCGAUGGGCGAAAAGGGAAGGAGAUUCAAGCAUUCGCGUCUUUUAUUGCCCUAAAAACGCAUCUUCGGCCCUCCAUUCUUUCUCCUUCCCACUCGUUUCUCCUCCAUCUCCAAAUUUUGGUCUUCGCCACCCUCUAACUUGCACUGUCUCCGUUGCUGGCUUCCCCACUAACCCCAACAACUUCUCCAUUCACGCCUUCGCAUCCGCCAGCUUCUGCAGGUAGAUUCAAGGGUUUUCAGAUUGAGGAUUUGGUGGGGCUGUUCUUUGCUGCUCUUCUCCUGGUUCGAUCGGAAAUAAACAUGAAGGAAUUGGGAAAUAGUUGGAUUGAAGGGGGAAGAGGGAAGGAUGGGGUGUUGCUUCCGUUUGUUAACAGUUUCUUUUCCCUUUUUAUUUUUGUUUGAAUGAUUGAUAGAAAUCAAAGGGAAGAAUUUGUGUUUGGUUUGAUCAUUUGACAGAAAACGUAGAAGAAGAAGAAGAAACACAGAAGUGAUUCGAUUUUUUUUUCUUUUUGUGUGUGGUUUUAUAUUUCCUUUAUGUGUGAUUGGGUAUAAGUUUUUUGUGUAUAGCUUUGGUUUUGGUUUAGUUGUUGAAAGCUAGGGAUUUGAUUUUUUUAUUUCUAAUUCACAGAUAACAUCCUUUAGUGGUUAAAUUUUAUUUGGGACUAAUAUAGAUAUCAGAAUGAGCAAUUUUUUGGCUGCAUUUUAUGAAUUGAUUCAUCUUUCAUUUUUUUUUUUUCUGAUUUAACACUUCAUUUAU